rnacentral:rRNA from 1 species
UUGGAGAGUUUGAUCCUGGCUUAGAUUGAACGCUGGCGGCAGGCCUAACACAUGCAAGUCGAGCGGUAACAGGAAGGAAGCUUGCUUUCUUUGCUGACGAGCGGCGGACGGGUGAGUAAUGCCUGGGAAAUUGCCCUGAUGUGGGGGAUAACCAUUGGAAACGAUGGCUAAUACCGCAUGAUGCCUACGGGAGGCAGCAGUGGGGAAUAUUGCACAAUGGGCGCAAGCCUGAUGCAGCCAUGCCGCGUGUAUGAAGAAGGCCUUCGGGUUGUAAAGUACUUUCAGUCGUGAGGAAGGGGGUAUCGUUAAUAGCGGUAUUCUUUGACGUUAGCGACAGAAGAAGCACCGGCUAACUCCGUGCCAGCAGCCGCGGUAAUACGGAGGGUGCGAGCGUUAAUCGGAAUUACUGGGCGUAAAGCGCACGCAGG